rnacentral:lncRNA from 1 species
GUCCUGACUUCUUGGAAACAGGAUGGGCGUUUACAAGUCAGGUUCGGAAAAGUCACCCCAGGCAGCAGAAAUCCAUCUUGAGAUGAAAUACCUUCUACCUGGCCCUCUGGCAGAAUUUCAAGGCAAACGCUGGGCUGGCUCUGGGGCCAUGACAUUGCCUGAUCUUCUGCCUGGGGAGAGCAGGACCGGGAGGAGAUUUUGCCUUUGGAGAACAGGGAAGAUAUGGAAAGCAUGAAGAAAUUGACUCAGAAUCCUAAGGCCAAAGAUACCAGUUACAUUAAGGAAUGUGGCAGUAGUCUUCAUGGAGGCAAAUGGAAGAGACUGAGCUCUGAGCAGAGGAACCUAUACAAAGAAGUGAUGCUGGAGAAUUACCGGAAUUUGCUCUUGUCGGCAGAACCAAAGCCAGAAAUCUACCCCUGUUCCUGCUGGCAUUCUCUUGUCAGCAAUUCCUCAGCCAGCAUGUGCUUCAGAUCUUCCCUGGCUCAUGUGUGGAAAAUCACUUCCAUCCAGAGGAUUCUGGCCCGGAGCCUCAGGAGCAGCAUUAUUCUGCUCAGAGUUGCUGGAGUGAAUACACGGAAGGGCAAGAGAGGGAAGGUGGCUCCAAAGCCUUGUGUGCGGGGACAGAGGAGAGAAAGACCUCAAGCUCAUUCUCUGGCCCCCCCCAAGGACCGUCCGCAAGUCCUAGAGAAGUCACCACAGUGGUAG